rnacentral:antisense_RNA from 1 species
GAAAGUACGACAUUGCUCACAUUGCUUCCAGUGUUUACUUUAUAAGCCAACUUAAUGUUGGCUUUUUUUU